UGGGGAAUAUUGGACAAUGGGGGCAACCCUGAUCCAGCAAUGCCAUGUGUGUGAAGAAGGCCUUAGGGUUGUAAAGCACUUUAGUUGGGGAGGAAGUGUCCGAGACGAAUAAUCUCGGAUGUUGACGCUACCCAAAGAAUAAGCACCGGCUAACUCUGUGCCAGCAGCCGCGGUAAUACAGAGGGUGCAAGCGUUAAUCGGAAUUACUGGGCGUAAAGCGCACGUAGGUGGAUACUUAAGUCAGGUGUGAAAUCCCCGGGCUCAACCUGGGAAUUGCAUUUGAUACUGGGUGUCUAGAGUAUGAUAGAGGGAAGUGGAAUUUCCGGUGUAGCGGUGAAAUGCGUAGAUAUCGGAAGGAACAUCAGUGGCGAAGGCGACUUCCUGGAUUAAUACUGACACUGAGGAGCGAAAGCGUGGGGAGCGAACA
rnacentral:rRNA from 1 species